rnacentral:lncRNA from 1 species
AUGAUCGUGUCCUUAUGGAUGGCAUACAUUGCAGCUCGUAAACGCCAAACAGACACAGAUGGCGUACCAGGUGAAGAACAGUUCUCGUGGUUAUUCAGGAUGCUGGAUACGUGGUCCGGGCUGUGGCCAGGGCAGAGGGCAUUACCACCGGCAGAGCCUAGGGCAGAUCAGCAGGCAAAACCUCCAGCAGAUCAGCAGGCAGAGCCUCAGGCAGAUCAGCAGGCAGAGCCCCAGGCAGAUGAGCAGGCAGAGCCUCCAGCAGAUCAGCAGGCAGAGCCUCCAGCAGAUCAGCAAGCAGAGCCUGGGGCAGAUGAGCAGGCAGAGCCUCCAGCAGAUCAGCAGGCAGAGCCUCCAGCAGAAGAGCCUCCAGCAGAUGAGCAGGCAGAGCCUGGGGCAGAUGAGCAGGCAGAGCCUCCAGCAGAUCAGGCAGAGCCCCAGGCAGAUCAGCAGGCAGAGCCCCAGGCAGAUCAGCAGGCAGAGCCUCCAGCAGAUGAGCAGGCAGAGCCUCCAGCAGAUGAGCAGGCAGAACCUCCAGCAGAUCAGCAAGCAGAGCCUCCAGCAGAUCAGCAAGCAGAGCCUCCAGCAGAUCAGCAAGCAGAGCCUCCAGCAGAUCAGCAGGCAAUGCCAAAAGCAGAGAGUACACCAGCUCCUCCAGACCUCCCACGUCCCAUCAGUCCAAGCCCACAGGAAGGGGCCAAUUUGGAGGUGCAGGUGUCUCAGCAGGUGGUCCUGAAGGAUGGGUUUCACGUCUUGUCCAUCAGCAAGUCCUGUUGUGUGCAUCAGAUCUCGAAUGUGCAGGAGGAUGGAGAGACAGUGACAAGGCCGGGGCAAACAGAAAAUGAGAUGCGCUGGAUGGUGCUCCAGGACAUGCCUGACCUCAAAAUUGAUACCACGGUGGAUGCUGCAACAAGAAACAUGAUGAUCACCACGACAGACACCGACAACUUAUCUGAAUGCCCUACCAACAACUAGGAG